rnacentral:rRNA from 1 species
CCUACGGGAGGCAGCAGUCGAGAAUCAUUCACAAUGGGGGAAACCCUGAUGGUGCGACGCCGCGUGGGGGAAUGAAGGUCUUCGGAUUUUAAACCCCUGUCAUGUGGGAGCAAAUUAAAAAGAUAGUACCACAAGAGGAAGAGACGUCUAACUCUGUGCCAGCAGCCGCGGUAAUACAGAGGUCUCAAGCGUUGUUCGGAAUCACUGGGCGUAAAGCGUGCGUAGGCUGUUUCGUAAGUCGUGUGUGAAAGGCGCGGGCUCAACCCGCGGACGGCACAUGAUACUGCGAGACUAGAGUAAUGGAGGGGGAACCGGAAUUCUCGGUGUAGCAGUGAAAUGCGUAGAUAUCGAGAGGAACACUAGUGGCGAAGGCGGGUUCCUGGACAUUAACUGACGCUGAGGCACGAAGGCCAGGGGAGCGAAAGGGAUUAGAUACCCCAGUAGUC